rnacentral:rRNA from 1 species
CCUACGGGAGGCAGCAGUGGGGAAUAUUGGACAAUGGGCGCAAGCCUGAUCCAGCCAUACCGCGUGGGUGAAGAAGGCCUUCGGGUUGUAAAGCCCUUUUGUUGGGAAAGAAAAGCAGCGGGCUAAUACCUUGCUGUUCUGACGGUACCCAAAGAAUAAGCACCGGCUAACUUCGUGCCAGCAGCCGCGGUAAUACGAAGGGUGCAAGCGUUACUCGGAAUUACUGGGCGUAAAGCGUGCGUAGGUGGUUGUUUAAGUCUGUUGUGAAAGCCCUGGGCUCAACCUGGGAACUGCAGUGGAAACUGGAUGACUAGAGUGUGGUAGAGGGUAGCGGAAUUCCCGGUGUAGCAGUGAAAUGCGUAGAGAUCGGGAGGAACAUCCAUGGCGAAGGCAGCUACCUGGACCAACACUGACACUGAGGCACGAAAGCGUGGGGAGCAAACAGGAUUAGAUACCCUGGUAGUCCACGCCCUAAACGAUGCGAACUGGAUGUUGGGUGCACUUUGGCACGCAGUAUCGAAGCUAACGCGUUA